UACAGAGGUCUCAAGCGUUGUUCGGAUUCAUUGGGCGUAAAGGGUGUGUAGGUGGCGCGCUAAGUCGGGUGUGAAAUUUCGGAGCUUAACUCCGAAACUGCAUUCGAUACUGGCGUGCUUGAGGACUGGAGAGGAGACUGGAAUUUACGGUGUAGCGGUGAAAUGCGUAGAUAUCGUAAGGAAGACCAGUGGCGAAGGCGGGUCUCUGGACAGUUCCUGACGCUGAGGCACGGAAGGUCAGGGGAGCAAACGGG
rnacentral:rRNA from 1 species